rnacentral:misc_RNA from 1 species
UUUUUUUUUUUUUUUAAUUUAUUUCACACAAAUUUAGUCAUUUAUUAUAUUGUUGCUUGUUGCCUUGUUAAUUUUUGUUUCAAGUUUAUUGUUGUAUCCAUAAUUGCCAAAACCAGACUGGACCAGAUGGUCGGUCAGACCGGGAACCGGACCACUAGCUGGUCCAGUCUUGUUAAGAAACCCGUUUUCUCGAAGAACCAGAUUUAAACCACCAAAUUACCCAAGUAAGAGUUAAACCAGUCAACCCAGUGACGGUUUAGUGGGUUAACCAGUUUUUGAUGGGAUGAUGUGGCACUUAAGGCAGCUGCCACGUGACUUCCAUUAAAAAUAAAAUUGAGACCUUGGCUUGCCUUGAGAGUUGAACCAUGAUAAUGGCAAAGAAAGCUGAAAGUUUCUCGAUUUCGUCAACUUCUUGACUUGAUUAACUAAUGAUAUCAAUAAGUUAUUUAUUAGUAUGUUAACUUGAAUAUGUUUAAUUAUUUCUUAAUCUUAUUAUCUUU